rnacentral:rRNA from 1 species
GACGAACGCUGGCGGCGUGCUUAACACAUGCAAGUCGAACGGAAAGGCCCCUUUGGGGGUACUCGAGUGGCGAACGGGUGAGUAACACGUGAGUAACCUGCCCUUGACUUCGGGAUAACUUCAGGAAACUGGGGCUAAUACCGGAUAGGAAUCCUUGCUGCAUGGUGGGGGUUGGAAAGCUUCGGCGGUUUUGGAUGGACUCGCGGCUUAUCAGCUUGUUGGUGGGGUAGUGGCUUACCAAGGCUUUGACGGGUAGCCGGCCUGGGAGGGCGACCGGCCACAUUGGGACUGAGAUACGGCCCAGACUCCUACGGGAGGCAGCAGUGGGGAAUAUUGCACAAUGGGCGGAAGCCUGAUGCAGCAACGCCGCGUGCGGGAUGACGGGCUUCGGGUUGGAAACCGCUUUCAGCAGGGGCGAAGCUUGUGGUGACGGUACCUGCAGAAGAAGCACCGGCUAACUACGUG